rnacentral:lncRNA from 1 species
AGAGGGUUUAUUUAGCUAUACUAAAAACUUUAUUUAACAGAGUGCUAUGUAUUUUUUCUCCUGCUGCACACAUUUUUGUAAGCCUUCUCAAAUUCUUUGGAACUAGGUAAAGUACAAAAAAAAUUUGUAUAUUGGGUUGUGAGGCAGGAAGGAAAUCUGGGGGAUUUAGAAAUGAUAAAUUCAGAGAUUUAAGCAUUAGUCAGCUUGGGGCAAAGGUGACACAGCACCUGCAAGAAAGGAGGGGAUUCCUGGCACACAUGUCCUCCAGGUUGGAUUAUGAGGUGUUUUAAAUAUAUCUAUUUCCCUCCCCUGUAUUAGCAUCCAAAUAUUAGCUUCCCUUCCUGCAUUAAUUGACACAGUUUCUUAAGGUAAGAGCAUUAUUCUAAGAUUUCUGGAGUAUGCAUUUUCCAACAAAAAGUAUCAGCCGUUUAUGGACAUUCUGGAAUCUAACCUAUUGGCAUUAGGAAGCUAUUCUGGAUUUUUCUGAGUGGGCAGUGACAUAUGCAAUAUGCUUUAGUAAGAUUGGGUGAUGAAUAAAAUAAACUAAUGUUUACAUGGUGAUUGCUCCGAACUAAGCACAGUAAAUAUUUUACAUUGUUCAUAUCACUGAAUUUUCAAAACAGCGUAUGUAAAGCAGAUAAUUUUCAAAGUAUUUUUACUGAAGUAUAAUUGAUUUACAAUGUUGUACCAAUUUCUGCUGCACAGCAAAGUAACCCAGUCAUACAUAUAUAUAUACAUUCUUUUUAUCAUAUUAUCUUCCAUCAUGUUUUAUCCCAAGAGAUUGGAUAUGCAGAUACUUUUAUAGUAUCCAUUUUCCAGAUGAAAUAAAAAAGCUAUUUGUGUUGAAAUAACUUGUCCAAGUUGAGAUAACUAUGAAAAGGUAUAGGUGAAUGAAAACUAUGCAAGCAGUGCUAAAUGUUGUCUGAGCACGUACUAUACUAUCAAGACUAGAUUGGCUAGAAAAAGAAACUGAAAACAGGAAAAUGAGAUCACUGACUAUUGCAAUGGUCCAGGCACAAGAGAAUGAGACAAAGCAAAGGGAUUAGAUGGUAAGGAAGAUGUUACUAAGGGAGAAACAGAAGGACUGUGAUUGUUCCUUGGAUUUGACAGAUUGUACAGAGGGCACUCGAUAUGAUUAGUUUGAUUAACAGGAAUUAAUAAACACUGAUAAAUUGGCAAAUUGAUUAACAGGAAUUAAUAAACACUGAUAAACCGGCAAAUAUUGAUAAAAGAGUAGUGGUUUUGUUGGAUGGGGGAGGACUCCCUUUUGGAUCUUUUGAAUUUAAAUAAUAUCUAGAAUAAACCAAAAAAGUUGACAUUGAUACUGUUUCUAAAGCAAAACAAAAUACCCAAAUGACUGUUUGCUGGACUUCUCUCUACAAUGGUCUACUUCACUGAGGAAAUCCCAUUGGGAGAAUGUAUAGGAUGUCCAAUAAGAACCACAUAAAAUAGUAUAAUUUUGUUGUAGAAAUAAAAGGUUCUCUUAGAACUUAUUCAAGAUCACACAACUUGGAUUUUCCUUGCAGCACAGCAGGUUAAAGAUUCUGUAUUGUCACUUCAGUGGCUCGGGCAGGAGUUCCUGCUGUGGCACAAUGGGGUUGGCAGUGUCUCUGCAGCACCAGAAUGCAGGUUUGAUCCCCAGCCCGGCACAGUGGGUUCAAGGAUCCAGUAUUGCCACAGCUGUGCCAUAGGUUGCAACUGUGGUUCAGAUCUGAUCCCUGGCCCCAGAACUUCAUAUGCCAUGGGGAGGCCAAAAGAGAAAAAAAAUAAUAGUUUUAAGUCAGGAUACUUAUCAUCAGUGAUGAUUUUCAGUCCCUUAGGCAAGGAGAGCUCAAUGUGUGAAAAGGAUGAGAGGUGGAAUGAACAAAUGACAGGCUGAUGAAUGAACAAAUGAAUGAAUGAAUUAUUGGUAUAUAAAUUACAAGAAGAAAGUCUCUCCACCUGGAAUUUACUUUUCCUGCUUUUCUACUAAGGUAGGUUGUUUUGUUUUAAAAAUUACUCCAAUUUAACCUUGGUUUCUUAAAAAAUUUUUCUAAAUGGAAAAUGAUUUGUCUCUAAUACUUUUGUUGUUUAGCAAUUCUUUAUACACAUGAGUGUAAUCUCAAGAUAUUUCUACCUAGAGCUUAUAUCAAUGUUGGGCUUGGUCUCCUUUAGGAACUACUGUUGUGCCAAAGGAUUGGGCAGCAAUUUCCGUCUUCACUUUGCUUGCAAAUUCAUGCUAGGCCAUGUUUCAUGAUUCACUGGGCAAAUGUAUCGUGGAUACUGCCUCUGAGUUUGUAUGCAGGUGUGCUUAUCUUUUACCUUUUAAAGCACUAGUUGUGGGAACAGAGAUUUCUUUCUGCUAAUUGAAUCUUGACCAGUGAACUCCUCCUUGUUUAGAGGUAUUUUAAUCCUUUCCAAAUAAAUAUUAAUUUAUCUAAUUGACUGACUGGAGUUAUAAUUCAACUGCAGAAGGAGAGCAGCUUGUACUCUUCCUUAUGACAGAUUCAUGCCCACUAGAGUACAUCAUCUUCAACACAAGAUGACCAACCCAUGAGGUGACUCUGAGGAUUAGUGAGACUUGGUAAUGUUUAUACAACUUUUAAAAUCUCUUAUCGGAAAAGUGCUUUGGCAACCAUGAAAAGUUGAUCUUAAUCUGUCUAUGCUCAGAGUAAGAAUCGUCUUUCAUAAAUCCAACUUAUUUUCCAAAGGUAGUGCUGUUUUCUAAAAAGGUCAACCUGUGUUUGAGAUCAGUUUAAAUUAUGGCUGAUGUGAACUCAGUUAUUCCCCAGAAAAACUAGUUAUUCCCUGGUUUUAGCAUCCCUCAGAAUCACUGAGGAACCAGUCCAGGGCCCCAGAACUUCGGAUUAAGCAGGUCUGGGAGGAGGCCUAAGUUUGUACAGUUCUAGAAAGAUCCAAAGUGACGUGAGUUGUCCUGGUAUCACUCUUUGAGAACCACUGCCCUGGGAAUGUGCACUGUCACCAGGGUGACUGGGAGCAAAAACAUCCAAGGGAAGUUGUGUAAACUCCUCCAGAGAGGUUCAGUGUGGUCUUUUGAAAUUAGAUAUGAUUUGUGAUUGUUUUCUUACAGUUUGUGUAUUAUAUAUUACUUGUUUUGGAAGGGAGCGCUAAAGGAAAAAAAAAAUGGCUUCUAGUAUUUGUGUCUAGACCUAGUGUUAUUUGACUAAACUAUUAAUGCCUGCUUCAAAAUCCAGUACCUCUAAUCACAACCUCUUCCUGCCUCCCAAACAAAACAAGGCUAAAAUCUAAACCGAAUGUUGUCCCUUACCAGCGCAUAAAAAGUUAACAGUGCCAAACAGAAUCACUCAGGUCAGUGGAGGGUAAAGCCAGCAUUUGGAAAUGCUGUGAGAGCACAAAUAGUUUAAACUGUAGACAAGUCCGGAGGAAAUUACAGCGGGAAAACUUUCCAUCCUGGGUUCCAGUUGCCAAGGAGUUUGUGUAGGUUGCCGGAGACCUCACCCCUUGGUGGCUCCUCUGUGACUCACUGUGUCCCUGGGAAUCCUCAGAUCCAGCAACAAGAGAGAAUGCAGAAACUCUGCCUUUGAUCUCCUGGGAUGAAAAUCCCCAGAACUUGGUUUCUACGACAGGGAGUUUUCUAACUAAAUAGAUGGUAACAGAGCUGAUAACUCUGAUUCUUAGAUAUCAGUCUGGUUCUGGCCCAGGUGCAAAGGUUGAGAUUAGAUAAAGCUGUGUACUGGGUCUCAAUGCAGCAGCAGGAGAGUGGGAGGGCAGGGUUAGAACCCCCUUGGACCCAGUUUGGAUGGCUCGUUAGAUUUGAGACAUCACAGUUGCUCUUGCUCUGCUCUUGGAACCCAGCUCUCAGACUCCCUUAAUUUGGAGUUUGAUGGACUCCUAUAGAUGGAAACGCCUAUCCAUGAAAUAGCUUUUCUUUCUGGAUACAUCUUAUUCUUUACCAUUACCCUUGCAAGUUCAAAUCCAGUCCUAACCAGAAGCAAAUGUGAUCAUUUUCCUUUCCCUAAUAAUGAGGAAGAGUGUAACCUGAUGCUGCAGUCCUUAAUCAAAUUUUGGGGGGGUUAGAUUUAAUGUGUGUUUAAAUUACCUGGAGAUCUUGUAAAAAGAGCAGAAUGUGAUUUGGUAGAUUCAGUCGAUCUGGAUGGAGCCCGAGAGAUUCUGCCUUUCUAACAAACUCUAAGUGCUGAUGCUGUUGUUCUAAGACCAGGCUUUGAACAGCAAGGGGAUUAGUUUUCGACUUGAGCUUCUCAAUAAGAUCACCUUGAGAGGCCAUUUGUUCACUCUUUUUAAAAGCCCAACACUGAAGUUCCCGUCAUGGAUCAGCGGAAAUGAAUCCAACUAGUAUCCUUGAGGACACAGGUUCGAUCCCUGGCCUUGCUCAGUGGUUAAGGAUCUGGCUUUGCCAUGAGCUGUGGUGUAGGUCAUAGACAUGGCUUAGAUCCCACGUUGCUGGGGCUGUGGUGUAGGCCAGCGGUUACAGCUCCAAUUUGACCCCUAGCCUGGGAACCUCCAUAUGCCAAGGGGGGUGCGGCCCUAAAAAAAAAAAAAAAAAAAAAAAAAAAAA